GGGCUCAUUUCAACAGCACAUACACUAAAACUGGAAAGAUUCAGAGAUCCACAUGGGCCCUGUGCAAGGAUGACACCCAACUUGGUGACACCGUUCCAUAUUUUU